CCCCAGCCCCCGUCCCCCAGCCCCUGUCCCGGGCACCGCUUGCGACGCUGAGAACUCCGGAGCUUCCCGCCCAGCUGCUGCGUUUCCUUCAGCGGACCGGCUUUCUUCAGCAGGCCGCUUCCUCGGAUGCACAAGGGACAGAACGGCGCUGGCUGAGACAGCCCCCGGGCGGUUUAAGGGGGACACGACGGCCAAACACAAGGUGUCAGUAUACUAGCAUCAUAUCCAUGGCUACUGCUCGGUUUCGCACCGUUACCGACAUUUUGAGUUGUUUAAUGACGGAUGGGUUGUCAAUGCUGCAACAAUCCACGGCUGUGAAAUUCAACAGGUGCUCUUCAGAAUGGACUGGACAUUAAUAUGAGACUUUUUGGAAGCUCCCCUACUUUCAUAACCUUGCGACGGGGUACAAUUCCAAAAAAAGCGGUCCGAGGCACUCCGAACCUUUUUGAAGCUCACCUGAGCCUUCCUCAGGGUGUGGUGAUGAAGGCUAAAGGCUUGGGUGAGCCCCUUAUGAAGGCUCAGGUGAGCUGCAGUGUGUUCGUGUUUUUAAACCUUUUUACCGUAGUGGAAUGAGGACUUAACUUAAAACGACAGUGGAGUGCUUUGGACCCCUUUUUUGGUAUUGUAACCUGUUGCAAGGUUAUGCAAGUUGGGGAACUAAAAAAUUUUUUUUUUUAAAUCUCAUUUUCAGUUGUUUGAUCAGUGCAUUUGCUGUCCACAGUAUGCCGUCAACAUCAUAUAUACAGUGGCUUUUUGGUCAUUCCUUUUCACAACACGUUAAAAUCCGGAUAGAUUUAUGAAUGUAUUAUGCAGUUUUGUUGCCAAACCUAACUAAACAUGACAUUUUGGUGCUAGUGUAAUAUUAUACAGCUAAUGCCCACUGAUGCAGUGGUGUUCCAUAACUUCCUUUAGUUUUGGAUGGUGAGUGUAGGCACAGCUUUGCGUCAGGUUUUGAUUGGUCUGAUUGACCAAUAAGCCUAUGAGAGUCUCAGCCGUUCGGUAACAGUAGGUAGGUGUUUUUUUUUUUUUUUUGUUUUUUUUUGAUGAAUUGGAUAGAAAUGUGUUACUGUACGUGUGGGACAGUUUUUUUCACCAAUAUAGUCACACUGACAGAUUUGCAAACAAUUGUGGAAUAGUGUUGGCCCCAGUGUUUGGUCCACAGUAUAUUUUGAGAUACUUUAGAAAAUGUGAUAUGGAGCUAGUGGAAUGGGAAAAGGAGCCAAUAAAUGAGAUACACCUGUCAAUCAAAGCCUGGCUGACAUAUGCUUCACUUUCCACAGAUAUUAUAAUCAACAGUGUAAUAUUAAUCAUAAUUAACACAUACUAAAGUAUAAGUAACACAUACUAAAAUGCACACUAUAAGUUAUGGUACAUUUCUGUAGCACAGGAAUUUACAUUGUAGAAAAAUGUAUUUUAUAAAAUCAGAAUGUUUAUAGGUUUGAUCAAAAUAACCAUAUUGCUAUCCUCAGGAUUUUUCCUUUUGAAGCUUUUUGCAAUCAAGGGUACAAACAGUGGUAUUUAUGACCAUAUUACUGUAUGUCUGUGUUUAGCAAAAAAUGAUUUUAAAUUAAGUAUUUCUUUUAAAUAUAUAGUUUUCUGCCAUAUUUGCAUAUGCACAUUUGCAAAUACUGUAAAAAUACUAGAUUGGCUUUUGGAAGUAUUGGAAAUAAAAUGUUUAUAUAUUAAAUGAAUAAAGCAUGACUACUGUCUCGUACACAUACAUUCACGCACUUUAUAAGGUAGGGGUGUUGAUUUUAGUAUUUUGAUAUCACCCUGUUUUUAAUCGAAGCGCUGACGUGGUUUAAUUAAUGCCCCGUUGCAUUCAGUCCCACCAUUCUGAUAGGACAACACAUACGAUUACUGAUUACAUUUCUUUUAAUACUUUUAAUUUUGCCUCAUUUAAAAAAACAAAAACAAUGACCAAUACUAAAAGUUAAAUAGUCUCAUAUUUUUUUCAAUUCUUUACAUAUUGGAAAAGCUUUUUGGGUAGAUAUUGCAAUUUAGCAUUACAUUUAGGCAAAAAAAAAAAAAGAUCCUCCUUGGGUCAUAUUUGUCAUACUGCUUCUGUAAGAAUUGAUUUUUUCCAUCUUUUGUGCAAGUCUGUUUUCCUGCCUUGGAUGUGUAUUUGGGCUGAGAUUAAAAUUAGCAUUGGUAAUGUGCUGUGACAUGGUUGAAGGAGUGCAGUUAAUAAGCAUGUUUCCUGUGGCACAGGUGACUGCGUAACUACGUAGUCCUUUUUCCAUCUCUCGCUUGGUGUAAGUGCAUUCAUUCAAAGCAAAUCUUAGCCAUUUCUAUUGCCACUAUUUCCAGUCCCAUUUUUCCGCCAGUUUGUUGCAAAUUAACAGUAAACAGGAUGAAGCCUGUUGUUUUCAAUAAUUAAACUUUUCCCUUGAAUUAGGGUUCUUAACAAUUUUACAACUUUUUUCCCCAGCUGCCAUUUUGUCUCAAGAUACAAACUGCUUUAUGAUGUUAGACAAACUACCUAGUUGUUUAACUUUCCUGCCUACCUUUCUGUCAGUCUUUUGAACUCAUUAUAUUUCUCACUGAGGGAUUAAUUAUAAAAGCACAUCCUUCCAAGGUGAAAAUGAAACCCAGCUGUUCAUCUUCAUUAUUACCAUAACAACAUGUAAAAACAAAUCUACCCAUUCAUACAUUAUACUCAAGUAAGUCUUAUAAGGUUGAGUGAAAUCAAAGCACUUACAGCAUACUCAAACAUGAUGUGGUGAAAACAUAUGAAAUGCAAAUGAUUCAGACUGAACAAAAUGAACAAAUGAUCCCUGAGAACAGAGCAGGGAUUCAGAAGCUACAGUGGGCUGUUGCGUGGGGUCUGUCCUACAGCAGUCUGAAGCUCAAGAGGUCUCGGGGAGAGUCACUUUUACUCUAAUUUUGUCUAUGGUUGUUUUUAUCAAAACUAUCGGACCACAACCAAGUUCCCACUUUCUCUGGUUGUUUUCACAAAAUCACCUAUAACACCUGCUCAAUUUUAUUAUUAUUAUUAUUAUUAUUAUUAUUAUGUUAUAGAGAAUUGUGUAUUUUGGUUGAUUUGAUACAGUAUUCUCUCCAAAGGCACAUGCAUUUAUUUGUAUGCAUGAAUAUGUUUAGGCAGUCACUUGCCAUAGUUUCUCAGAAUUUAUAUUUGAUGUUGAAAGAUGUUUGGCAAGAAAAAAGCGAUUUCAAAAGCUAAUUCUGUAAAUCUGCAAGGGCAGAUUGAAAAUGGGGAAGAAAUUACUGGUAGGCAGGAAACUCCUCUCUCUAGUACAGAGCAGUGUAAUUUCUGUUUCAUCCUGUUGCUGUAAGCUGGAGCUGCUCUUCAGAGGAACGGACCCAGAUGGUCAGAUACUGCGUGUUGCUCUUGGCUCACGCUCACGGUUCAGAGGUGACUGUGCAACAGAGCCAGCGCAAUUUCCUCACGAUCAAGGCUAGGAGCCAUUCAGCAGAGCGCCGCCUGCACAAACACUCAAAAGUGGGCCACGGCGCGCUAAUCCGAACUGAUGACCGACGCGCUCGAUUGUGUCAUCCCCAUUGUUUCAGUUCAGAUAAAGCUCGUCUCGAGUGCGGUAAGCCAGAGUUCUUCAGAGCUUACAGCGGCGUGCUUUCGGAGACACGCUGUUUUCACUGCGCCCGGCUUGUACUGAAACGGAGAGAUUUCGGAGAGGCUCGCGAGCAAAGCCAGCGGAAUGUGGUCGAGCGGAAAGCUGCUGUCGCUCUCAUGCUAAAGUCUCCUGCUCAACAUUCGGUUAUCCAGUCAGGGUAAAGCCUGCCAGGGGAAAGGAGGGGGAGGGAGGCCCUGCUGAAAAAGGCCAUUUUCACACUAGACGGGGGGAUGAGGUUUUCGGUUUCCAUGUCCUGACUCAUACAGUAGUUUGUGUGCUACACUGUGCAGGGCAAAGACUUUCCAGCAGAACAACACUUUCCAACAGAACCAUAAUUUGCACCAUAGCUAUGAAUAAAGAAAAAGUUUAUACUAACCACUGUAAAGCAAACUUCAUAAUUACAGUUGCUACAAUGGUCGAAUGAAUGUUUUUCUGUUGAUUUCUAUGCAUUUACUGUUAACUUGCAUUCAGUGACUCGUUUAAAAAAUACAACAAACUUGUAGCACAAAAGAUAAAUUAGAUUAACAACAUAAAAAUCCCUGUAUCAUUUUAUUCUGUUUAAAGUUCUAGACCAUGUUUAUAUCCAAUUUCCUAAGGCUUGUAUUAAAAAUGGAAAUCAAAAUGGAGCAAGAUGAAAGUAGUAAUGGGUUAGAACAAUUCAUGCUAAAAAUUAAAAUUUGAGUAUUACAUGUCAGUAAUAACUUCUGUGGGAGGGAGAAAGACAGUCAGAUGAGCAAGGAUCAUGUUUGCUUGGCUGUUUUUAUUACGAUACAGCACGCAGAAUGAUGAGGCUCAUUUUGUAUACUUAUGUUUGGGGUGUAAAAAGGACUGAAUACCUGACAGAACUGUUGCUUGAUAACCUGCAACUGACAUUGAAGAGAUCCCUCUCAAAACAAGCUGGUGAUGUCACAAGCAGCUGUCUGUAGUGUGGGAGUUGUUUUUUUCUGUGUGGCUGUGCAACUGGAGACUGAUGACGGGUUGCAUUGUGCUAGUGACUAAAAGCUGAAUUACAAAGGGACUCGGUGGUCAGAAUAUGCUAGUCUGCGUGCUUUGCCUUUUCUUUCUCGUUGCUAUUCUACAGGAAAAAGAUACGAUGAAUAAAGAAUUUGUACAAAUAUUACAUUAAAAAUAAAAUCUUUUGAUGCAUUUAAACUA